rnacentral:RNase_P_RNA from 23 species
UCAGUCGGCCGGACGGCCGCUCCGGCAACGGUCGAAAGGCCGCCGGGGAGGAAAGUCCGGGCUCCCUUGACAUACGGUGCCGGAUAACGUCCGGCGGGGGCAACCCCAGGGAAAGUGCCACAGAGAACGAACCGCCCUGCUUCGCCUUCGGGCUUCGCUGGGUAAGGGUGAAAAGGUGCGGUAAGAGCGCACCGCGGCUGCGGCAACGGAGCCGGCAUGGUAAACCCCACCGGGAGCAAAACCGAAUAGGGACGGCGUAGCGGGCUGUUCGCGCAAGCGAUAACGCCGCGGGGCGAUGUCAGGCCCGCCGUCCGGGUAGGUUGCUCGAGGCCAUGUGCAAACAUGGCCCCAGAGGAAUGGCCGUCACGUAUCGUGCGCGCAAGCGAACGGUGCCCUACAGAACCCGGCUUACAGGCCGGCUGAUGUC